rnacentral:tRNA from 5 species
GUGGGUGUAGCUCAGAUGGUUAGAGCGCCGGAUUGUGAUUCCGGAGGUCGUGGGUUCGAUUCCCAUCAUCCACCCCA